AGUAUGUCAAAAAAAGUAAAUAAUGACCAACCGUUCCUAGCGCAAGUGACAAAAAGUUUGGUGAUUGAUACCUGAGGUCCUAAGUUCGAAUUCUUGUUGAUUCACAUCCUCAGCUAAGUUUAUUUCUAAAUAAAAUAAACGAAGCGGGUAGCAUGCUACCUAUCUCUCGGAAAAAAGAAAAGUAAAUAAUGCAUUGUAC
rnacentral:lncRNA from 1 species